CCUACGGGAGGCAGCAGUGGGGAAUCUUGGACAAUGGGGGCAACCCUGAUCCAGCCAUGCCGCGUGAGUGAUGAAGGCCUUAGGGUCGUAAAGCUCUUUCGCCUGUGAAGAUAAUGACGGUAGCAGGUAAAGAAACCCCGGCUAACUCCGUGCCAGCAGCCGCGGUAAUACGGAGGGGGUUAGCGUUGUUCGGAAUUACUGGGCGUAAAGCGCGCGUAGGCGGAUUAGUCAGUCAGAGGUGAAAUCCCAGGGCUCAACCCUGGAACUGCCUUUGAUACUGCUAGUCUUGAGUUCGAGAGAGGUAAGUGGAAUUCCGAGUGUAGAGGUGAAAUUCGUAGAUAUUCGGAGGAACACCAGUGGCGAAGGCGGCUUACUGGCUCGAUACUGACGCUGAGGUGCGAAAGUGUGGGGAGCAAACAGGAUUAGAUACCCUGGUAGUCCACACCGUAAACGAUGAAUGCCAGUCGUCGGGUAGCAUGCUGCUCGGUGACACACCUAACGGAUUAAGCAUUCCGCCUGGGGAGUACGGUCGCAAGAUUAAAACUCAAGGAAUUGACGGGG
rnacentral:rRNA from 1 species